rnacentral:rRNA from 1 species
GAUGAACGCUGGCGGCGUGCCUAAUACAUGCAAGUCGAACGAUGAACCCGGAGCUUGCUCCGGUGGAUUAGUGGCGAACGGGUGAGUAACACGUGGGUAACCUGCCCUUGACUCUGGGAUAACUGCGGGAAACUGUAGCUAAUACCGGAUACGACCCUCGGCGGCAUCGCCAGGGGGUGGAAAGAAUUUCGGUCAAGGAUGGACUCGCGGCCUAUCAGCUAGUUGGUGAGGUAACGGCUCACCAAGGCGACGACGGGUAGCCGGCCUGAGAGGGUGACCGGCCACACUGGGACUGAGACACGGCCCAGACUCCUACGGGAGGCAGCAGUGGGGAAUAUUGCACAAUGGGCGCAAGCCUGAUGCAGCAACGCCGCGUGAGGGAUGACGGCCUACGGGUUGUAAACCUCUUUUAGUAGGGAAGAAGCGAGAGUGACGGUACCUGCAGAAAAAGCACCGGCUAACUACGUGCCAGCAGCCGCCGUAA